rnacentral:misc_RNA from 1 species
AGUGACCUGCGGAGGAUCAUUGUCGAAACCUGCCCAGCRGAACGACCUGUGAACUCUUUAAAACACCGGAGGGUGCGUGCCUUGCGUGCGCUCCCCUCCCUUCUGCAUCAGGCGCGGGCUUGSGCCCGUGCCUGUUGCAGAACAACCAACCCCGGGCGCAGCAUGCGCCAAGGAAAACCAACAAGAGAGCACGAUCUCAGGCCCCAUACAUGGUGUGCUGUGGGACGCGGUGCCUUUUUUGACAU